CGUAAAUGUUAUAUUUGGAAUAUGUUCGUUUGGUGGUUGUAUUUUAUUAGUUAUGGUCAGUCUCUUACUGUGCCUGAUUUAUAAAUCAAACUUUCUCAUAGGUAUGUAUAUAUGGGAAAAAACAUAGUGCACGUAGGGUUUGAUGCUCUUUGUGACUUUAGGGAACCAAGGAUGUCUUGGAAUGUGUCUCCGGUGGCUAAUUGGGGAUCAUCAAAAUGAUAACCAAGGCACAGUGUUUGGCUCAGGACUGUGUGACCCCUAGGAUCAUAGGAUUCAGUCAGUAUUUUUUGCUGCUGUGACCAAAACCCUUGAAAAGAACAAUUAGAGGAG
rnacentral:lncRNA from 1 species